GCAAAUCGGUAGACGCUACGGACUUGGAAUCCGUCGACUUUCGAGAUCGUGAGGGUUCAAAUCCCUCUAUCCCCA
rnacentral:tRNA from 1 species